rnacentral:lncRNA from 1 species
AUGGAAAUGAUGGAGAGGGCUCGCUCCAGUUCCUGCCCAGCCCUCCAACGGCCCAGAACGGCCCCCCGGCCCCCUUGGGCUUCUGCACCCCCAGCAGGGUGGACCCUGCCCCUUAGAAGCUCCGCAAUUUCUCUGAAAUAUCACUUCGGCACAUGGCGUGAGGACCUGAGGAGGGGGGUCUCCAGGAAGGUCCCGGGGGAGAGCUACCCCCUUGUCCCCCUGCCCUCUGGGGAAGUGGGGGGCUCUGCACAUUCGGGUUGUCCCAAAGAGGAGACAUGGGGAAACUCACAGACGACAGGCAGAGGGGCCACCGGAGUCCCCUCCGGUUUUCAAGGAGCGCCACACGCUCCAGGAGCUACGCGAAGCAGAAAGCGAGCUGGCUCCGCCGUGCCCUGGGCCCCUACACAGACUCUCAAUAGGGUGGGUUUUCCUCUGCUUUGGAGGAUUUGCCAGCUUGUGACAACAGGUUUUGGGGGACAAGAUUUGAGACACAGUCCUCUGGAUUUGGGACCAACCUGCCUGUUCUGGGUUCUGCCCGCUGGCUCGAGUGGGGCCUGGUUGCUCACUGUGUCUGGUUCCCUCCUCCAGAUCAGGAAGAGGCAGCAGAAGGUGAGGCCGAGGCUGAGGCCGAGGACCAUGCAGGAGAAGAUGGACAAGAAGAGGAAGCUAAAGAGGCUGAAGAUGGCCCAGUGGAAGAGUUCAAACCCAAGCCCAGGUGAGUGGGACGCAGCUGUGGUGAAGCCCUGGGAGCAGAGGGCCAGUGAGGGAGGAUGAUCAGGACAGGACAGGAGAGCAGUGUGGCACAGUGGGUGUGGGCUGGGGGUGCGGCAGGCACAGAGCACCAUGUAUGGUUGUACAGGUUGUGUACUGCACAAGAGGUUCUACCUGGGGGGAGGGUAGUGGGGGCUGAAAUCUAUUCCACGUUUCAUUACCAAUUUCGUGCCCUGGCAUGGACAGCACUGAGUUCAUCUAGAGGAAAGUGAUGGACAAGUCAUGGCCCUCCCACAUCCCACAGGAUAGCUAGAACAUCCUCCUCCGUGGCUGAGGUGGGACCUGGGGGAAGACGGAAGA